CUCGGAGGCAGUCGAAUCUGUGGCUAGCUUCCUAACAGGUACAAAACAGGAGUGGUUUCUCAUUUCUCUGAAACGACAUCAGGCUUGUGUUCUGGAUAAAGUUGCCAAGUGGGCGGGCCUAGGUAUAAAAUAACGAGGCAGAGAUUUGAGGCCAACGUUAGAACCUACUGAGCACUCAGAACAGUGCUACUCCUUCAGACGACUCCAGAGAUGACGCCAGUGUCCAGGGUGGAAGUUCCUUGCAGCAACUGACUGGACGGUCAGUUUGCCACGGAGCGCUCUGUCACUACGCAAACCUGCUGCGCCCCAUCUCCAAUGCUGUUCUGUGGAGGAGCGGAGCAGGAAGAGAGUGGAAGGAAAGCAGCUUCCAGGUACUUAUCUGACAAACUAGAUGCUACCACCGGAAAUGUCCGGACAAAAUACCAAGGACAGUUAGCAUCUUUUUAGGGACCCAGCUGGGAUCUUUCGUGUGUUAUUCCCAGAAGUGUGGUAAAUUCAGGAGAAACUGCGGUACCAUGGUACAUGUUUGGGGCUUGAAAGGCAUCCUCUGCUUUGUGUUCCCGACCCCUCCCCUCUCCCGCCCCUUCACUGAUCCAUCGGUUUAAUCAACUGAUCUAUUUACACAACAUCAUUUGUACUACCUCAUUUUUUUUCUCAGAGUCUGGAAGUUUGGUAUGUGCUAGGCUGAAGGAACAAGCUUCGGAUGUAGACUUGGGCAUGGAGGCUCUAAUAAGUGUCCAUGGUAGACGCCACUCCCUGCCUGUUGUCACAUGAUUUCUGGAAGAAUUGUCUGCUGGGAAAAGGCUCUUGGAUGUCUGUCUGCCUUUCCCCCGCACUUCACCUGCUGUAUCUUUUUAGCCUGAACUGAUCUCACUUGUGCCUGUUUGCUUUUGUGGUUUUAGCAGGAAGUCACCACCAUGAGUGCAAUUAUGUGCUGAUUUCUGUGAAUUCUUCCAGCCAGGCAGUCAUCAGAUUCGGAGCUGCUCCUUUCUCACCGUCCUUUACACUUACAAUCAAGCAGCUGAUAAGUUCCCCUUUAACCCGGUUUUCAGGAGUUUAUUGAACAGGCUUCAGAACAAAGAAUACCAAGGUGAAUAGAGACAAAGGAACUACAGAGAUGUGGAUAACAACAUGUACUGCUCAUGCAGAGAACCUGAACUCCGUUCCCAGCACCCACGUCCCUCACGACCACCUCCACCUCCAUCUUCAAAGUCUCUGUAGAUACCCGUACUCAUGUGCACGUACACAGAGGUCAAAGGGAACUUGCCGGGGAAUGAAGAGCAAUGCCCUGAAUUCCAACUGCCCUUCUACAGAGAAGUGCUUGACUGCCAAGUGGUCUUCCCAGUCAUUGGUGAAGGAUCACUUUGGUACCCCGGCCAAUGGGCUCACCAUGGUCUGAACGAAUGGGGAAGGAUUCACCAGCAGAAGACUCCCAAGACACCAAACUACCCAAUCAUGGAGAUGUCUGCACCAGCCUGGAGAGCCUCCCUGAACACCUUUGUACCAGACUUAGCAAUGGUUCCCAAGUUAUUUAUGAGGUGCCUGCAGAGGUCAGAAGAUCCCACUGAGCUGGAGUUAAUGAAGUUUGAGAACUGGCCAACAUGGGAGCUAGGAACUGAACCCGGGUCCUCUGGAAGAACAACAAAUGCUCUUAAUUCCUGAGCCACCUUUACAGCCUCCAAAUACUCCUUUUUCAUGGUUUGCUGGAGUCCAGCUGACGGCUCCAACAAACCUACACGAUAUUGAUGUGUUCGCUCACAGUUCUUUAUCUAAGAAUGCCAAACCUGAGAGACUGCCUUGGACUUCUGUGGUAGGCGACAAGUCCUCUCUAAGAACAAGAGUGUUAGGAAGAAGGGAUGUGAACAUCACUCCCAAAACUCCAGGGAAAGUCGGACCAACAUGACAGUGAAAAUUAUAAAGCAAAAUGUACCGGAAAUGGAAGAACUUCCAGGCCCGCUGGUGGACACCUGUAAUCCCAAUGUCUGAGCUGCAAAGGGAGCAAGAGCUCAAGGAUCUCAAAUUUGAAGGCAGACUAGAUCAAAAAGAGGCUGAAAUAGAGUUCUUC
ensembl:lncRNA